GCUACGGGUGUCAGCAGUGAGGAAUAUUGGUCAAUGGACGCAAAUCUGCACCAGCCAUGCCGCGUGCAGGAAGACGGCUCUAUGCAUUGUAAACUGCUUUUGUACGAGGGUAAACGCAGAUACGCGUAUCUGUCUGAAAGUAUCGUACGAAUAAGCAUCGGCUAACUCCGUGCCAGCAGCCGCGGUAAUACGGAGGAUUCAAGGGUUAUACGGAUUUAGUGGGGUUAAAGGGUGCUUAGGCGGUGGGAGAAGUUAGAGGUGAAAUACCGAGGCUCAACGUCGGAAUUGCCUCUUAUACUGUUCGGCUAGAGAGUAGUUGCGGUAGGCGGAAUGUAUGGUGUAGCGGUGAAAUGCUGAGAGA
rnacentral:rRNA from 1 species